UACGGAGGGGGCAAGCGUUGUUCGGAAUUACUGGGCGUAAAGGGUUCGUAGGUGGCUUGCUAAGUCAGACGUGAAAUCCCUCAGCUUAACUGGGGAACUGCGUCUGAGACUGGCGAGCUUGAGUGCAGGAGAGGAACGCGGAAUUCCAGGUGUAGCGGUGAAAUGCGUAGAUAUCUGGAGGAACACCGGUGGCGAAGGCGGCGUUCUGGACUGCAACUGACACUGAGGAACGAAAGCCAGGGGAGCAAACGGG
rnacentral:rRNA from 1 species